UGGGGAAUAUUGGACAAUGGGCGAAAGCCUGAUCCAGCCAUGCCGCGUGUGUGAAGAAGGUCUUCGGAUUGUAAAGCACUACAAGUUGGGAGGAAGGGCAGUAAGCGAAUACCUUGCUGUUUUGACGUUACCGACAGAAUAAGCACCGGCUAACUCUGUGCCAGCAGCCGCGGUAAUACAGAGGGUGCAAGCGUUAAUCGGAAUUACUGGGCGUAAAGCGCGCGUAGGUGGCUCGUUAAGUUGAAUGUGAAAGCCCCGGGCUCAACCUGUGAACUGCGUCCAAAACUGGCGAGCUAGAGUAGGGCAGAGGGUGGUGGAAUUUCCUGGGUAGCGGUGAAAUGCGUAGAUAUAGGAAGGAACACCAGUAGCGAAGGCGACCACCUGGGCUAAUACUGACACUGAGGUGCGAAAGCGUGGGGAGCAAACAGG
rnacentral:rRNA from 1 species